rnacentral:rRNA from 1 species
GACGAACGCUGGCGGCGUGCUUAACACAUGCAAGUCGAACGGAAAGGCCCUGCUUUUGUGGGGUGCUCGAGUGGCGAACGGGUGAGUAACACGUGAGUAACCUGCCCUUGACUUUGGGAUAACUUCAGGAAACUGGGGCUAAUACCGGAUAGGAGCUCCUGCUGCAGGGUGGGGGUUGGAAAGUUUCGGCGGUUGGGGAUGGACUCGCGGCUUAUCAGCUUGUUGGUUGGGUAGUGGCUUACCAAGGCUUUGACGGGUAGCCGGCCUGAGAGGGUGACCGGCCACAUGGGGACUGAGAUACGGCCCAGAGUCCUACGGGAGGCAGCAGUGGGGAAUAUUGCACAAUGGGCGGAAGCCUGAUGCAGCGACGCCGCGUGCGGGAUGACGGCCUUCGGGUUGUAAACCGCUUUCGCCUGUGACGAAGCGUGAGUGACGGUAAUGGGUAAAGAAGCACCGGCUAACUACGUG